AAAUAUCAACCAAUUUAAUACCGUCGCUUGGAAGUAAGGAUGAACGAUCGCUCAUAAAACCAUUGCCUAUUCGCGUGACAAGUUCGAUGUUUUUUACCGAGAAAGUUCAAUGUUUGUCAAGAGCGCUUGACAGCUUUUAAUCUGAUCAGCCAAUCACGUUCAACCAGCUGCAAGCUGAUUGACCGAGCGAAUUGAAACUUUCUCAUGAGAAU